rnacentral:lncRNA from 1 species
CUCAACAGAGCAUUUUUGGGACUUAGUGAGUUGCAGAUUUUGCUGCUAUGUGUUGCAGACUUUUCCUUCUCUGCGAUCGCAUAAGCUUCCAUGUGAUCGCAUAAAGCCUUUUGUGCUGGCCUCAUUUUUCCUUCAAUGCGUUCACACAAUCCUUUCUGCGAUCGCAUAGCUCUGCAUCCCCAUUCUAUGUGUUCGCAACCCUCCCACUGCGUUCACAUUGAGUAACCUGGGCUAGUGUCUCAAGGCCCAAUUCCUUAUAUGCGAUCGCAGAGCCUCUAUAUCGCAUAGAGCCUUUUGUGCUGGCCUCAUUUUUUCUUCAAUGCGAUCGCACAACCCCUUCUGCGAUCGCAUAGCUCUGCCUCCCCAUUCUAUGCAUUUGCAUCCCCCCAGCGUUCGCACUGAGUAACAUGGGCUAGUGUUUCAGGGAUACGUGAUCGCAGAGCCUCUACUGCGAUCGUAUAGGUCCAGUUUCCCCUCUUUCGCGAUCGCAUUCUCAUCCAUGCUUUAUCAUAGGCCAUUUUAUUGGGCUUUCACAUUAUGUUCUACACGAUCGCAUCUCAUUUCAUGCGAUCGCAACUGGGCAGAUAUUAAUAUUUAAAAAACGAGGUUUCUUCCAUUUUUCAACAAACUCAAGCUAGGGAGCUCGGUUCUGGGAGAUGUUUCGAGGGAUUUUCAGAGGAAAACAUUGGGUAAUGAUUCCUUACUCCAUUAUGAUUAUUACCCGCUAAUCUAAUGUCGAAUUCAACCUUUAAUUUUGGAUUUGGAAUGAAAAUUGGGGUAAAAUUCUUAGAUCUAACUUUUAUGAUUUGAUAGGGUAUUUGACCUCCGACUUAGGAGAUUUUGAUAUGGUUAGACUCGUGAGAGUACGAGGUUACUGAAAAAUGUGAAACUUAUUCGAUUCGGAGACAUUGUCCUUAGGGGAAUUUUGGUUAUUUCACAUAUUGUCGUGCCUUAGCUUUAAUUUUAACCGCGUUAUCAGUUACUUAUGAUGUUAUUUACAAUAUGCAAUUGCUUUGAAUAGAUUUGGGCCACUCAGAGUCGGAUACUCAUGGCAAUGGCAUUGUUUCUUAGCGGUUUUGUACCAAAUUCGAGGUAAUUGGCUUGUCUAACUUUGUAUGGGGGACCUCUCCCCUUAGGAUAUCUUUGUCAUUGUUUAAAAGCCUUGUGCGCGUGGUGAAGGGUGUGUACUUGUGCUAGUGGUUCGAGAUUCACCUUACUUGGCUUAUUUAGUCUGUGUUUUCUUCCCAUAUUUAAUUGUUAAAGAUGAAACUUCACUUGUUUUGACAUAGGCAAAUCAUGUUAGUAUUUUGUUUGCUCUAUUUGACUAAAUUUCCAUAUUUGUCUUUCUAGCUAAGCACGUUAGAUUCUACUUUUUAAUUGUUGUUAUCAUUUGGCUUACUUUCCGUUAAAUAUUUAUUUGUUGUGGUGUAUUUACUUUUGGGUCUGCACGUUCAAUUUCCAGAGAUCCACUGUUAUUGGUAUGUUGGACUACGGGUUCAAUUUCCAAGAGAUCCUCUGGUUUUGACAUGACGGACUACGGGUUCAAUUGCCGGGAGAUCCUUUGAUAUUGAUAUGACGGACUGCGGGUUCAAUUCUUGGAGAUCCUCAGUUAUUGGUUUAAAGGACUGCUGGUUCAAUUCUCGGAGAUCCUCUGUUAUUGGUAUAAAGGACUGCACGUUCAAUUCACAGAGAUCCUCCGUUAUUGGCAUGAAGGAAUGCGGGUUCAAUUCCCUAAGAUCCUCUGUUAGAGAAGUGAUGGACUACGGGUUCGAUUCCCAGGAGAUCCUCUGAUAUUGGUGUAAAUGGACUGCGGGUUCAAUUCCCGGAGUUCCAUGUAGAGAUCCUUACUUUUGAGUGAUUUGCCUUGUGUUCGUAGUCUGUACUUGUAUCCAUUCUUUUUUAAUUACUGUCUUGAUAGAUAUUCGGGAUUUACUUCAUUAUCUUCUAUUUAUUUUUUAUUACAAUAUUUCUUGUGUUCUUCAUAGUAAGGCCUCGACCUUCAUCGUCACUACUCCAUCGAGGUUAGGCUUGGCACUUGCUGAGUACCGCUGUGGUGUACUCAUGCUACUCUUCUGCACAUUUUUGUUAUGUAGAUCCAGGUACUUCUGAUCGAGCACUAUCAGUGAUCUUAGGAGCUUUACACGGAGAUUUGAGGUAUGCAUCUGCCAUGUCCGUAGAGCUGAAGAGUCUGCUUCUAUUUUACCUUUAGCUAGGGGUUUCAUUCAUGUACUCACUUGUUGUAGAUAUUCCUGGAUGUUAGAGCCAUAUGUUAUACUUUACUCUUCGCCUGUGUUGCCCGUGGGUUUUCGGGUCUUGGAGGUUUUAUGUUAUUUUGAGUCGACAUGUAUGUGCCAGGCGGCACUCAAUACAUUAUCUUAUGCUAUUUAUGUUUUAUUUAUCGUUUAUCGUAAAAAUUGUUGAAUUUCCGCAAUGUAUCAGGCUUACCUAGUCGUGAAGACUGGGUGCCGUUAUGACUGGUUCACGAUUGGUGAACUAGGGGUGUGACACCUAAUUUUAUCAGUAGAGGAAGAAAAUAUUUAAGGAAAGAGGAUCAAGUAAACAACAUGUGCAUAGCAUACAAAUGAGGGUGAACACAUAAAGUUAUUUAAAGAAAAGUUUUUUUUUGAAACACACGGUUUGUGCAAAUAAGGUAAGAAGACCAAUUAACAACCAGUAAAUUAAUGGUCUGAGAUUUUAUACGAGUGAACCUAGCCUGAAAAAAGAAGGGAUUUUAUUUUGGUCGAGUCGUUGAAAAAAAAUGGAAAGAAAUCAAUCAAGCAGUGUUCAGAAGGAAUUUUUAACUAAUUGCAGAUUUGGAAGACCGUUUUUAGGGGAAAUCACAGUAUAUAAAGAGCAUACAAACACUUCAAACACAAAAGGUCAGAAUCGUAUGAAAACAGAGAUGACUUUUUUCAAAAAUCGAAAUCAAACUACUGUAGAGGUGAGAACAUGCAAGUCCGAAAAGACCCCUAAUUUCUAUGGUUUCUUCAAUUAGUCAAGUGUAGAGACAAAACCGAGUAAGUCAAGCAAGGUAAACUCAAAAAAUCCAAAAGAACAUAAACGUUUCUACGAAACAUAAUGAUAGAACACACAGUAAAAGAAAUCACUAGGAAACCCUAGAAGGGAACAAAGUAAAAAGGAAAACACAUAGAAAUCAUGGUAAAAAUACCUUGGAGCCAGGACAGAGCUAAUACAACAAGAACACCAUGUGAAAAUCACAGUAGAACAAGUAUAAUCAAAGAAACCCUAAAUCUGAGAGGGCAACUAGUUUUGAAAGCAAACCUUAGAAAGAUAUUUUUAAGAAAAUCGUUUUAAGAACCUUAAAACAUUCAUAGAUCUAGAGUGGACCUAGAGAAAUAUAGGAAAAACCUCGAUGGGCUAGGGUUUCAGAAAACCCUAGAAGUGAUAAAGGACUGGAAAAGGGCUGGUCGGAGUCGAACGAGCCAGAGAUAGGCUCAUAAGGAUAGGAUACGCUGGAUUUGAGCCGGAGAUUGCCGUGGAACUUGGAUAGCCAAGGUCCAGAUUCAACCCUUCGUGGUCAAGUCGUGAGGCUUCAAUAGUAAAGCGUGAGGAGCCAUAGGAGGCCGGUGGGUGAUGAAGCCACCAUGGAUUCUGGUCAGAAAGUGGACGGAGAAGAAGAAGGGAACUAAUCGGAGAAGAGGGAGGUGGAAGGUUCUAGGCAGAGUGGUAGGUGGAGAGAUAGAGACGAGUGAGGCAAGUGAGGGGUAUUGGGGGGGAGGGUCAUUUGGUUUAAUUUGGAAGGGGUAGAUAGGGACCGUUGAUCUAAAUGAUCAACGGUCGAGAUCAAAUGGGGUAGGUGGGUCAGGUAUGGUGAGGAUUUGGGCCUGGUCCGAUUGGGUUAGAAAUUUAGGCUAAAAUAUGGUGUAGAUUGAGGCUAUAAUUGAAAUAAAAUAGGCUAGUUCUUAAAUAGCCACUUUUUCCUUUUUAAUUAAUUAAAAAUGGUAAAAUGAUUUAGAAACAAAUUUAAAAAUACUGGACUGGUUAAUAAUACACAAAUAAGUUAAAAUAUUAGGCAUAAUUUUACAAUACCAAAAUACGUUUAAUUACCGAAUGAGCUACAUUUGCAAUUAUAUAUAAUUUAGAAAUGCCUAAUAAAUUUGUAAAAUAAUUGAAAAAUCAUAUUAAUUACAUUUUAAUAUAAAUAUGAGGAUAAAAAUGAGUUAUUCACCAAAAUAUAAUUUUUGUGAAUAAUCAACUGGGGUGGGCGGGUCGGGUAUGGUGAGGAUUUGGGCCUGGUCCGAUUGGGUUAGAAAUUGGGGCUAAAAUAGGGUGUAGAUUGAGUCCAUUAUUGAAAAAAUAGGAUAGUUCUUAAAUAUCUACUUUUCCCCUUUUGAAUUUAUUAAAAAUGGUAAAAAAAUUUUAAAAUACUGAACUAGUUAAUAAUAUAUAAGUAAUAAUUUAAAAAUAUUAGGCAUAAUUUUACAGUCUCAAAAAUAUUUUCAAUUACAAUAUGGGCUAUAAUUGCAAUCAUAUACAAUUUAGUUUUAGAAAUGCCUAAUAAAUUUGUAAAAAAUAUGGAAAAAUCAUAUUAAUUACAUUUUAAUGUAAAUAUUAGGAUUAAAUGAGUUAUUCACCAAAAGAUAAUCUUUGGAACUAAUUUUGAUAACUUUUGAUAAUAAAAAUAGGGAGUAAAUUUGUUUAAAGAUCAUUAGAAUACCAAAAAUCGUGGGUGCGCUCUUAUGUGCACGUAUAUAUUAUUUGGGAGGUAUUUUGGUAUACAAAUACAUGGGAAACAUAUGGGUAUCAACUACUGCCCUCUUUACCCGAGGAGGAUUAAAGAGUUUUCGGGUAAAGAUAAGAUGGACAAUUUUGACCGAAAACAGUGAUUAUAAAAGAAUUAUGAUCGUUCUCUGGUUUUGAGCUGCCCACAUAUCCCUGGUUUUACAGGAAUCGAGCAUAUGUAGUUCGGGAUCCAAUGACAAAAUGUGUCUAUUGAGGUUUGAAACGAGGGAUGUAAUGGUUGAGAUUGAAAAGAAUUUUGGGUUUAGUUAGGUUGAGGAAACAUCCGGAGCGGGAUCGCUCCUGCUGAGAUGGGUGUUAGGUAGCCGGAGUACCUGUAAAUGAACAAUGCAUAUAUUUAGCGUAAUUUAAGUAUGAUGCAAGUUCCUGCUGGACCAUGAGUGUUCUCUUCGAACGCUUAGGAUGACGUCCUUAGUCUAUGAUGUCUUGGGCCAUGAAGAGCAUAAAAGAAAAGAUUUGCAGGCCAUGAAAUGGUGUGCUCGGGCUAUGCAGAUGGUGCCUCCGAACUAUGACGCCUUUGAACAAGUUGGCAAUCUUUCAGCCCAUUUGCUCCGGAAUUUUGAGGGUCCUCUUCAAAAUUAUGCCCCAUUUUACUAGGCUGGGGCUGCUGAUGGUUGUGGUGAGUGACUGAAAACGGAUCAAUUCCAUCCUCAAAAUUCUGCCCCAGUUUAAUAGGUUGGCGCUGAUGAAAAGAUUGAAAGACUUACUUUAGAAUAUUGAGGGUCCUUCUCAAAAUUCUACGCCAGUUCCAAUUGCGGGGAAAAAUGGGAUAUUUAUUAAAAUGUGAUCGAACCCAUAGGGUUGCCUACGUAUUACCUCUUAAACGGGAAUCAAGUCAGGAGUAGUUCAAAUUACAUCAUGAAAGAAAAGCACAUUUAACAUGUAGUAUUUUUUUACUCCGUCUGAGUUGAUUGGCUUUGGCCAGACUUCUCUUUCCAUUUCGGCGAGAAUAAAGGCUCCGCCAGUUAGAACCUGAUGAACCAUGUACGGACCCUGCCAAUUGGCAGAGAAUUUCCUUUUGGCUUCAUCUUGAUGUGAAAAUAUUUUCUUCAAUACCAGCUGUCCUGGUGCGAAUUUCCUUUGCUUAACUCUCUUGUUGAAGGCUUUGGACAUUCUGUUCUGAUACAAUUGACAGUGACAAACUGAAUUUAUCCUCUUUCUAUUUAUGAUGAAUAAUUGCUCGUAGCGACUUUUGACCCAUUCUGCAUCAUCUAACUCUAUUUCAUGUAUGAUUCUCAAGAAAGGGGUUUCUACUUUGGCGGGGAUGACUGCCUCUGUACCAUAAACCAGCAUGUAGAGGGUGGCCCCAGUUGAUGUGCGUUCGAACCGUGGUACAAUAAACCAGUAAGGCAAACGCUUAUUUCUUGUGCCACUGCUCGUUCCUUUCAAUCAUUUUCCUUAGUAUCUUCUAUAUGUUCUUUUUGGCUACUUCUACAACUUCGUUCAUCUGAGGUCUUUAAGCCGUAGAGUUCUAGUUUGUUUCACACAUUGCCUUCAUCAGGUCGCUGUUGAGAUUGGGACCAUUGUCGUUGAUGAUUAAUUUUGGAAUUCCGAAUUCACAAACUAUAUGAUCACGGGCGAAAUAUGUUGCUACUUUCUUGAUGACUACUUUGUAUGUUGCUGCUUCAACCCAUUUGGUAAAGUAAUCAAUUACCACUGGGAUGAACUUGUGCCCGUUUGAUGAGGCUGGUUCGAUUGGUCCGAUAACAUCCAUUCCCCAAGCGGCGAACGACCACGAUGAUCUUGUUGCAGUAAGAUCGUUUCGAGGUACUUUUAUCAUAUCUGCAUGUAUCUGAUAAUGAUGGCAUCUUCGGACAUACUGGAUGCAGUCCAUUUACAUAGUCAUCCAAAAAUACCCUGCUCGGAGUAUCUUCUUUGCCAAAAUGAAACCAUUCAUGUGCGAUCCACAAGUGCCUGCGUGCACUUCCCCCAAUAGUUUGGUUGCUUCUCUUGCCUCGAAAGAAGUUGUUGGACAAUCUCCGAAGUGUGCAUUUCUGAGUAGCAUUGGCAAGCUCCGGGUACUCUCCUGUUGUCAAAUAUUCCCUGAUAUCGUGGAACCAAGGUGUCCUAUCACCUUCUUCCUCGAGAUGAGCACAAUAAGCCGGUUUGUCGCAAAUCUUGACCUAGAUGGGAUCAAUAAAGUUUGUAUCUAGAUGCUAGAUCAUAGAUGAUAACGUGGUUAGGGCAUCAGCGAACUCAUUCUGUAUUCUGGGGACGUGUUGGUAUUUCGUGUUUCAGAAUCUCUUCCUCAACUCUUGUAUAUGAUGUAUGUAAGGGAGUAUCUUGGAAUUCUUGGUUGUCCAUUCUUCUCGAACCUGAUGUAUGAGUAGGUCCGAGUCUCCGAUCACUAAUAGUUGCUGGAUGUUCAUGUCAAUUUCCAGUUUGAGUCUUAUGAUGCAUGCUUUACUCGGCCAUGUUAUUGGUGCAUGGGAAUCUGAGCUUGGCAGAUACUAGGUAAUGCUAACUGGUUUCUGAUACCAGGACUGCUCCUAUACCAAUUCCUUUGAAAUUUGUGGCUCCGUCGAAGAACAUUCUCCAUCCAUAAUAGGAUUCUGCAAUGUCUUCUCCUAUGAAAGCUACCUCUUCGUUAGGAAAAUACAACUUUAGCGGUUCAUAUUCUUCUCCUACAGAAUUCUCGUCAAUGUGAUAUGCCAAUGCUUGUCCUUUGACGGCCUUCUGGUUAACAUAAACAAUGUCAAACUCACUUAACAGUAUUUUCCAUUUGGCAAGCUUGCCGGUAGGCAUGGGCUUCUGAAGAUAUAUUUUAGUGGAUCCACACUGAAUAUGUGAUAAGUGGUGUAAGCACAGAAAUAGUGCCUUAGUUUCUGAGCUACCCAUGCUAGAGCACAACAAGUGCAUUCUAAUAAGGUAUACCGAGCCUUGUACGGGGUAAACUUCUUGCUGAGGUAAUAGAUGGCUUGCUCCUUUCUACCCGUUUCAUUCAUGUAGUCCCAAAACACACCCAAAUGCUCGGUCCAACACUACAAGAUAAAGCAACAGAGGUCUCCCUUGCUCGGGUGGAACCAAAACUCGGUGUUGACAAAUAUUCCUUGAUUCUAUCGAAAGCCUUUUUACAUUCAUCAGUCAAUUUAGUGGCUGCAUCCUUCUUGAGCAUCUUGAAGAUAGGUUCACAAAUAACAGUGGACUGGGCUAUGAACCGACUGAUAUAGUUGAGUCUUCCCAGAAAAUGCAUUACAUCUUUCUUGUUCUUUGGUGGUGGCAACUCUGGAAUGGCUUUGACCUUUGACGGGUCCAAUUCUAUUCCGAGUGACUCACAAUGAAACCCCGAAUGCAUACUUGGCUGGAUUUAGUUUCAAGUUGUAUCUCCUCAGAGUAUUGAAGAACUUCCUCAAAUCAUCCAUGUGAUCUGCAGCUUUCUUGGAUUUGAUAAUAACGUCGACCACAUACACCUCGAUCUCCUUAUGUGUCAUGUCAUGAAAGAUGGUGGUCAUGGCCCUCAUGUUGGUAGCACUAGCAUUCUUCAAAACUGAACGACAUCAUUCUGUAACAGUACAUCCCCCACGGUGUGAUUAAUGCCGUUUUGUUUGCAUCCUCUUCAUCCAUCCAUAUCUGAUGGUAUCCAUCAAAACAAUCGACGAACAAUUGCAGCUCAUGUUAGCGCAGUUGUCGAUCAAUAUGUGUAUAUUUGGCAAAGGAAAAUCAUCCUUGGAACUGUCCUAACUUUCCAGUCUUUUUUUGGUACUGGUAGGAUAUUGGUUAGGCAUGUCAGAUAUUCUACCACCCUGAGAACCCUAGCUUUGACUUGGUUGGUAACCUCUUCUUUGAUUUUCAAACUCAUGUCCGGCUUGAAUUUUUUGAGCUUCUGUUUAACCAAUGGGCAUUACGGAUCUGUCGGCAACUUGUGAGCCACUGUGCUGAGACAAGUCAUGACAUCAUAUGACCAGGCAAAGAUAUCCUCAUACUCUUUAAAGAACUCUGUGUACUCUUUCUUUUCUGGUGGUGACAAAUGUACACUGAUACAUGUUUCCUUGACAUUCGCUGCGUCUCCCAGAAUAAGUAUGUCAGUUUCAUCGAAAUUGGACUUAGGCCUGCUAUCGAAAUUCUCGACCUCUCUAACAACCUCUUCUGGUAUUACAUCCUCUUCUGAAUCUAUGUCCGUUUGUUGCAUGGCCUCAUUGCAAGUUACAGUCAUUAGUUCAUCAUCAAGAUGUGUAAUAGUAAUGCUGUAAAAAAUAAAGUAAAUGGUAGAGGAAAGUAAUAAGAGCGAGAUAUAAAGAUAAACUUGGAAAAUGCUUUUGAUUAAAUUCAUAAUUGUUUGAUACAUCAGAGCUCUUUUCAAAAGUAAAGACAAUGCGGAAAAUUAAAAUCAACUAAAAAUAAAAUGCGAUGCAUAUGCGUCAUUCAGCCUUGCUACCCCCACGCUCUAUGGGCUUUGGUGGUCCUGAUUGACCAAUUGGUGUGGUGUUCUCCUCGGUUCACAGCUUGAAUAGAAGGGCCUUCCUCUCUUUCCUUCUCGAAGAUAACACAAUAAUCUAUAUUGUCCUCCAGAAAUAGGUUCUUCAUUGCUGCUAAUGCCUCGUCUUUCUCAGAUCCAUACAUGACAUCGGUCGACUGAAAGGUCUGUUCCAGCUGAGGUAGAGGGUACUCCUGUGCGUAGUAGGGACAGUGCAAUAGUGGUGACCAAUGAUUGAACUCCUCCCAGGUCUUUUCAUACCCCAGGCCAAAAGUGGUACCAUGCUUCUUCAACUUGAUAGGCUCAGUGAUGCUUUGGGGUGUUUUGCCAAUUCCUUUCUAGGCUCACACCCGUUCCAGUUUAGGAUGCUCUUAGUCUUGUUAUCCUACCACUUGUCUUUGUCUAUGUCGUUGACUCGCUUGAUGUGGUGGUAUGUUUCUCCGUUUAUUUUCCUUCUACAUCCAAUCAUCUGGAUGGUUUAGCGACUGUAUAUAGGGUUGCUAGCGUCGCCAUGGAUGAUCACUUCAUGAUAGUUCCAUUCAAAUUUUACCGCUUGAUGCAAAGUUGAUGCCACAGCCCAUGCGGCGUAGAUCUAGGGUCGUCCCAACAACAAAUUGUAGGAUGCUUGCACGUCAGUGACUUGGAACCCAACAUCAAACCAGGUGGGUCCCAUUUGUAGGAAUAGGCUAAUUUCUCCGAUGGUGGAUCUUUGAGACCCAUCAAAAGCUUUGACACUGAUAGCUCCGUAUUUGAUCUUAUGCAGUCCUUUACCCAAUGUCUUGAGACUGAUUAACGAACAGAUGUUAAGGCUGGAUCCGCGUCGACUAAGAUCCUGGUGAUAAAAUGAUCCUUACAUUAUGCAGUGAUGUGCAAUGCCUUGUUAUGGCAAAGCCCCUCUGGUGGUAACUCAUCCUCGUGGAAGGUGAUCUUUUGGUUUUGCAGUACCUUCCCCACCAUAUUUUCCAUUUCGCCUCUUGUUGUGUUGCUGGGAACAUAAGCUUCGCUCAGUAUUUUCAUUAAGGCAUUUUUAUGUGCCUCCGAGCUUUGCAGAAGAGCCAGGAUAGAAAUCUGUGUUGGCGUUUUUUCAACUGCUCAAUGACUGAGUACUCUUUAAAGGUCAUUGGGUCUAGUUUUAAUAGCCCGCCAAAAGGCUUGCUUGGGGGACGCGGCUAAAUGUUCUGGGUGUAUACCCUGCCUGUCCUGGUCAUGCCCUGUGCUGCGAUUUCUUCCCCAGCAUAUGUCUUUCCCUUACUUCUAGCCUUUUCUGUGUAAUCCUAGCGUAUAGCAUUUUUCUUGAACGGGGUCACAUCUGUCACGGAGACCGGAAUUGGCAUCCUGGAAGGUAACACAGUAACUUCGAAUGGCGCAUGUGCCUUUGGAAUUCCGAACUAAACCUUAAUCAGGUUUGGCGCCUUUGCAGGAGAUUCUUCAAACUCGAGCGGCACAAACACAUUUACCACAUUGCCCUCAGAGGGAUGAAUUUGAGAAAUAAUGGGAUUGAGGCUAAAUGCUGGCUUGUUGGCUCGUCUCCUUCAACUAUCAAACCGAUUAACCCCUUGCGGUUCUUCAAACUCGAUCAUAAUGCUUCCACCCUUGUGGUCAGGAAGAGGUUUGUUGCAGACAGUAGGAGCGGGCUCCUUGGUAAUGCAGCAUUCUGAGAAGAUUCCUCAAGUUCCUUUCUAGCGCUUGUAUCUCCCAUUUUGCCUUUGUUCCUGUUUCUGGUAGGACUUGGAGGAGGAGGAGGCGGAGGACCCUUGUAUCUUGUGGAGUAUGCUGAUGGUAUUAGAAUGCACAAACUAACCUUUGGGAGGGGAAUAAAAAUAAAAGAAAAACAAAAGGUGAAAAGUUAGUGCGGAUUCUAAAAAAUAAUAUUGCGGUAUUUAAAUAUGUUGUGCAAUAGUAUCAGCCGUUUCCUAAUUUGGGUGCCUCGUUGUGCCCGAGGUAGGCCUAGCGACAAAUUAAAUUUGGAGAACUUAUAAUUCGAAAUGCCAUAUUUUAUUGAUAAGGACAAGACGAGUCAUAAGACAACUGAAUGAUAAAAGGUGUCACUAAUGGCCGGUGGCCUUAUUACAUUAAGAAAGCACAAAAUAAAAUCCUAACUACUUGGUCCCAGAAGGACCUUCCCCAGAUUUGGUACUCUUGCCUCUCUCAUGCAGCUGCAUCAACUCGCGCAUUCCUAACAUCAGAUAAGCUCGAGCCAGAUGUCCGCCUGCACUUCCUUCUGCAUUCUGACGGUCUUCAAUUCUUUUCAAGAACUUCCCUUCUAACUCCAUUAUACCUCGCUCCAAAUAUCCGAAACGGUUGUUGGCAUUAACAGCCAUGUCCUUCCAUUCGUUGAUCAGCUUCUCGAGGGCUUCCUUUAUUUCCCAAUGUUCAUUCCCACAUUCUCGCAUCCUCUUGCGCAGUUGAUUGUACUUGACAUGUGCUUCAGUUUUCUCAUCAAUAAUCCUAUGACCAUGGAUAAAUCCAGGAUGACCCAAACCAAUAUGAUCAUCUUCCAACCAACCAAUGUAGUGCGGCACACAUCCGGCAUGAUACCUGUCCGGUUCAAUUAACUCCCUUCCUAAGACGAGCUUGUAGUGCCACACAUGCUGAGUGUGACACAUGUGCGGGCUAUCAUCAUUUUGAAAGUCAGCCCUGAAAUGACUCAUUUUCUCUAUCCUGGGUAUGAUUUGCUUCUUUACGGCUUGCCUUAUGACUCGGAGGUGGACAUAAGGAUGAUUUCCACUCAGAUCGAUGAGUAUGAGGAAUGGUGCAUCUCGAUAAUGGAAAAAGAACUCCCCCGUUGGGAACCAGUCAAACAUCCACCAAACUUGAUCUUCGUUGAGAUUUUCAAACAAUUCCACCCAUCCACUGGCGUCUUCUGGCUGAGUUGGGCAUGAAGUUCAUUCGCUUUGGAUGAUGAAAAGCGAUAUGGUCAUCCCAAUCCCUCCGGAUAAUUUCCUGUAUGAAGUCGCCUUUCUGAAAGUGUUCUAUGAGCCAAAGUUGAAGUAGCAGAUUACAACCCUCGAAAUGUGGAUCCCCUUGUUGACACAUUCCCAAGGCUCAAUAGAUUUCAGCAAUGAUCAUAGGCACUAUGCUAAAAGAUUGCCCGUCGAUACCCUCCAUCAAGGUCUUGGUCACCAUGGCUAGUCUGGUGUGGAUCCUAGCCUUCUUCAUGGGAAAUAUUAUCAUAUCGACGAAGCAAAACCUGAACACAAAGACUCUUCUAUGUAUAUGUCCUAAAGAAGUGAAGGAGAACUCGUCCAUGUAGGUGGGAUAGGAUUUGCUGUGGCCAUAUCUCUCGUACAAGAAGUCAAAGGGCAUGUAGGAUUCCUUCAAGCAAGAAAGGUCGGGAUUUUUCUUGAGUCCCAUCAUCUUGAGAAAGCCCCUACCUUUGCGGUUUUCCAGCAUAAGCAAACCCGGAGUAUCCUAUGGGAUACCAGCUAGGCCUCCUAUCUCUUCUAGCAAAGGGGUCAUUUCCAAGUCUCCGAAGUGGAACACUGAUCAAUCUCUAUCCCAAAACAAAGUGGCAGCCUCUAUGAUCUUGUUGUUAGGCUGGAUUUCCAAAAGUUAGGGAAAAUAUCCUAAGUACUUGUGGACGAGGGUUUGAUCGCUAGCAUGAAGAUCUUCCCACCAACUUAGCAACCUCAGGUGAAUGUUGGAUACCAUGCCGAAUCUGGGGAAUUCGUGCCUCAUUUAUGCAAAGAAAAGUGCUAGGCCCUUAUUCCCACAAGACUCGACCAUUUAAAUCAAUAAUUAGAAAAAGGCAUUUAGUUCUCUAAAUAAAUGCACAUAACGUGAAGGUGUCUAUUUGGGUUUCGGGAAACCCGAUGGACUUUGGUUUAGGCUAUCUUAAUGAGUCAUUAUGCGGACAACAUAACUGACUACGCUAGGCGUGACUAUGAUGCAUGAUCAGUUUAAUGGAAUAAGGUUUCUACUUUUGAAGAGCUAGAUAAGGUACCUUGAGCGUACAAAUCAAGAGGGAAAGACGCGGAACCGUCGACUACACCGUUGAUCGACUGGUUUUAUCGCAAAUAUGCCUUUGCCACAUUUAUGGGUUUAUAAAUCAGAAGGUGACAACCACUCAUUAUAAGCAUUUAUAUAGGAUUUGUUUUGGCAGGAGUUGAAUAUGAUGUUGAGGAAUGCAGUUACAACAAUGAAACAAAUUACAUGUAUUUUCACGUUCACAAAGAUUACAAUAAAUACUUGAAAAUUAUAACGGAAUUGAAAUAAUAAGUAAAGAAGAAAUUAAUGAAAAACAUGAAGAGCCAAGUUAGAAAAUAAUGAUGAAAUAACUAAUGACAGGAAAUAAAUGCUAUUAAGGAAGCAAUAAAGUCACAAAAGCAAGUAAUGGUAAUAGCCUUAAAGAAAUUCCCUAGCAUAGUCGCCAUGCUGUCGACGCCCCCUUUUUCUAAGGAGAAAUCGGGUAUACGAUAUUAUGGGUGGAAUGACUCUUUUAUCCCCUUUGGGGAAUUUAGGUUAUGGAUUUUGGAGAGUCGCCACCUAAUGAUUAUAGUGCAUUAGGACACUUUUAGAGAAAAUUGGGGGAAUCUGGUUAUAGAAUUUGAAGAGUCACCACCUAUUGAUUAUAGUGCAUUAGGACUCUUUAAAGAGAAGAAGCGAUUUUGAAAGAAAACCAGAGUUCGGGUAAGGGCUUGAGACUAUCUCAAGGGGAAGGUGUUAGGCACCCCUCAAGAUCAACUAGUGUGAUUCCCGGUCUUGCUUAAUUGUGACUUUAAUAAGAUUAAGAGUAAACAAACAAAGUUUGCACAUAGAAAACAUAGCAAGUUGAGAAUUUUGAAGGAAGAAAGACACAAUUUGUUUUGAAAAGAGAAAUUUUGGUUGAAAACAUUAGUCUAAAAUAAUGCAUUAACAAAGAAAAAGAAAGGGGGUCCUACGGUUAAACAUAAUAUGGAUCCCUUUGGUGCAAUAUCUAGCAAUCAUUCUCACACGAGAUAUUAACGCACCAGUCAUCAUAUCCUUACUCUACCCUUCCCACCCUGUUAAGGUAUUUAAACGUGAUUAGUCUCGAUUACUUAUUGCAUGCUAAUACCUGUCCCAGCUUAUCAGUACAUGGGUAUUUGGACUUCUAAUCCUAAAAGGGAAGAAAGGGGAUGGAGACAUAUGUGGAGUUUAAAAGGAUAAAAUACUAGGGUGUCAAUCAAAACAAAUAACAAAUACACGGGGAAUUAAACAAACACUCAAAGUCUCAUCCAAACCCCGAAUAUCACAUAACAACUAGUUUAGCAUGACUUGAAUAUAUUGAUUUGGUUUUUAAUUAAAGUUAAGCAGCGGACGGGUCAGUUUAACACAUAAAGGUCUAUAUAAGGCAACUUUGAUCCAAUUGUUAGGAGUUUUUGUAUUUUUAAAACAAGUUAUGGAUUGAGGUCCUAAUGCAGGAGAGUGCAAAAAGAGAAAGUAUAGGAAAUUAUCGAGGUUCAGAAAAGAAGUUUUUGGAAAUAGGUAGAGUUGUAAAAGUAAAAGUGCAAUUGAGUUUCUAGAGGUAAAAUGCUUCAAAGAGCGAGUUUUUUAAAUUUUUUUGCAAACUUUAUGAAUGAAAGUACAUACAGAUAUUUGGUAAAAAAUUUAGAGAUAAAAAUAUAGAUUUAGAGAAUUUCAGACAGGUUUUGGCAAGUUUUAUAGGAAAAUGUUGGGACAAAUUUCCUGAUUAUCUAUAUUUAAGACAGAUUUAGGCGAGUUGAAAACCUAUAGGCAGGAUCUCUAUACCUUGAUUUUUAUCGACUCCUCACUACUUUAAUCCAUUAAGGAAGUGAGCUCUGGAUUACCCUACUGUUUUGCCUAGCGUUUUACGCAUUUCUUAAUGGCAUGAUCUCUAUAUGCAAUAGAUUGUUUAAUAUGUCCUAUAGGCAUGAUCCCUACUGACUUGCAACGUGUCUGAGUAUUAAUUCCUAUAGGCAUGACAUCUAAAUGAUAGAAAAGAAUGCAAAGCCUAUAGACAUGAUAUCUAGGUGACUUGAAAUAGUAAAAGUCCCAUAGGAAUGACAUCUAGGUGAAUUGAAAUAAUAAAAGUCGUAUAGGCAUGAUCUCUACCCGUUGACAUACAAUCAACUAAAGUAAACCCCUCCCAUAUCUCUUUACUCCUAUAAUCCCCAAGUUUUUAUUACAAAGUUACUAUUAUAAAGCCAAAAAUAAAAUAAAAUACAUCAUAACCCAUAGCUAGAUCAAAACUGACUAAUGCAAUAUUGAUAUCCAAUACAUGUGUUUUACAAAAUCCAGGUUCUAGAUUCCUAGGCCUUCUCUUAGAGUGUUUCAAAGUUCCAAGGAGCUUCAAGAGCCCAGGCAAUGCUUACACUCUAAAGAUUGAAUGUUGUAACAGAGUAGUGCAAUGUGUGGAAUUAUCGGCCCUUAGGCAAUAAAGUUCAAAGGGAACUCUAGGGUCCCUAAGUAUGGCUUAUCCGAGGGGGGUAGAACCUAAAGAGAUAGGAGUAGGAGUAAAGUGAGAUAGAAACCUCAGCAGGAGGUGGUCAUACCCAGUCAUGGCAUAGACUGGCACACCCCUAACCUCCAACUUAGAUUCAAGUGAAUAAGAGCAGACUCUUAAAGUGUCAAACUCGGGUCUAAAUGAUGAUCAAGACAUCAACAUACCUAAAUUAGAGCUCAACACAUUGAAGGGAAAAGGAAUCGGAAAGCAGUCAAGUAGAGACUCAGAAGAGUCUAGUCCUGAAUCACAUACAGCAAUUCAUAAUACUACUAUGACCCAAGAGAAACUCAGAUACAAAGGGGAUAGGGAAAAUGGAUAAACAUGCUUUAAAGUAAUUAAAUAGUGUAGGAAAGCAUAAAUAAACACAUAAAGAAAAGGGGCAGAAGUAGAGAAAUUGAACAAGGAUGCUAUGUAGUAUAAAAAAGCAUACUAGUUAUAAUUCAAGGAUAUCAUACUAACAUCAGCACACAGACGGGCAUGACUAAAGAGGAACAAACUCAAGAAACUCCCAAGUGUUUAGAAGUUCAAGCAACUAGAAGUGAAGUUGUAGAAUGCUCAAUAGAGAGUAGUAAUAGUAAAGUAGAGAGAUGAGUUCUGAUUUUUUUUUGUUUUUGCAGUCAAAAUUAUGUGAUAAAGUGAAAAGAAAUGCAUGUAGUUGUACUCGAAAUCAGAUAUGCAAGCAAUGAAAGAAAAUUAGUCAAGUAUCAAUUGAGAUCAAUUAACUAACUGAGAUUCCUUUAAUUAAGGAAUCCUAAUUUGAUCAGUAAAGGAAGAAAAUAUAUAAGAAAAAGGGAUCAAGUAAACAACUUGUGCAUAACAUGCAAAUAAGGGUGAAUACAUGAAGUUAUUUAAAGAAACGUUUUUUGAAACACACGGUUUGUGCAAAUAAGGUAAGAAGACUAAUUAAUAAACUGUAAAAUCAAAGGUCUGAGAUUUUAUACGAGUGAACCUAGCCUAAAAACAGAAGGGUUUUUAUAUAGGUUGAGUCGUGGGAAAAAAAGUAAAGAAAUGAAUUAAGCUGUGUUCAGAAGAAAUUUCAAACUAAUUGCAUAUUUGAAAGACCAUUUUUAGGGGAAAAUCACAGUAUAUAAAGAGCACAAAAACACUUCAAACACAAAAGGUCAGAAUCGUAUGAAAACAGAGAUGACUUUUUCAGAAAUCGAAAUCAAACUAGAUUAGAGGUGAGAACAUGCAAAACCGAAAAGACCCCAAAUUCUAGGCUUUCUUCCAUUAGUCAAAUGUAGUGAAAAAAGCAAGUAAGUCAGGCAAGGUAAACUCAGAAAAUUCAAAAGAACAUAAAUGUUUCUAGGAAACAUAAUGAGAGAACACACAGUAAAAGAAAUUACCAGGAAAACCUAGAAGGGAAAACAGUUAAAAAGGAAAAUACAUAGAAAUCAUGGAAAAAAUACCUAGGAGUCAUAGCAGAACUAAUACAAGAAGAACACCACGUGAAAUCACAGUAGAAUAAGUAAAAUCUAUGAAACCCUAAGUCUGAGAGGGCAACUAGAUUGAAAGCAAACCUUAGAAAGAGAUUUUUAAGAAAAUCAUUUUAAUACCCUAAAAAAAAAUAGAUCUAGAGUGGAUCUAGAGAAAUAUACAAAAAACCUCGACGAGCUAGGGUUUUAGAAAACCCUAGAAGUGAGGAAGUCGUGGAAAAGGGCUGGUCUGAGUCGAACAAGUAAGAGAUAGAAUCAUAAGGCUAGGACAUGCAGGAUUUGAGCCGGAGAUGGCUGUGGAACUUAGAUCUCCAAAGGUCGAGAUUCAACCCUUCGUGGUCAAGUCAUGAGGCUUCAAUAAUCAAGCAUGAGGAGCCAUAAGAGGCCGGUAAGUGGUAACCACCAUGGAUUCAGGUCAGAAAGUGGACGGAUAAGAUGAAGGGUAACUCACUGGAGAGGAGGGGGUGGAAAGUUCUAGAGAAAAUGGUGGGUGGAGAGAGAGAGAGAGACGAGUGAGGCAAAUGAGGGAGUCAUUUGGUUUAAUAUCGAAAGGAUAGAUAGGGACCAUUGAUCCAAAUUAUCAACGGUCGAGAUCAAAUAAGGUAGGUGGGUUGGGUAUGGUGAGGAUUUGGGCCCUUUCCGAUUGGAUUAGAAAUUGGGGCUAAAAUAUGUUGUAGAUUGAGGCCAUAAUUGAAAUAAAAUACGCUAGUUCUUCAAUAGCCACUUUUCCCCCUUUUUAAUUUAUUAAAAAUGGUAAAAUGAUUUAAAAACAAAGUUAAAAAUAUUGAAUUACCUAAUGAUAUAUAAAUAAUAUUUAAAAAAUAUUAGGCAUAAUUCUACAAUCCCAAAAUACAUUAAUUAAUAGAAUGAGCUACAAUUGCAAUUAUAUACAAUUUCACUUUAGAAAUAUCUAAUAAAUUUGUAAAAAUAUGGAAAACUCAUAUUAAUGACAUUUUAAUAUAAAUAUUAGGAUAAAAUGAGUUAUUCACCAAAAGAUAAUUUUUGGAAAUAAUUUUGGUAAUUUUUUAUAUUAAAAUACACACUAAAUUGGUUUAAAGAUCAUUAGAAUACCAAAACCCGUGGGCGCGCUCUUAAUGCAUAUAUCGUUCUUUGGGAGGUAUUUUGGUAUAAAAAUACAUGGGAAAAAAUUGUGUAUCAACACUAUAUGUUAAGCGUCUCAAAACUAACAAGGUUGUUCGAUGUGCAAAUUAGUCAAGUUUUGUUCAGGUGGUUGGUUUUGUUGGUAAUCUGGCUUCCCAUCCUUUCUUCACAAGAUCCAAUGGGAAGGUUCCUAUGGCCUCUGAAAUCUGUCUACAAAUCAUCGAUCUUGAGGAUAGCCUAACAGUGACAAUUCCACAACUAGAAUCUACAGCUGUUAAAGAGAAUAGGAUGUUGCAUCUCCGCAUUUUGAAAAUGUGGGAUGCUUGCUAUAAUGGUAGGGAACUGCCAAUUGCAAUCCAUGGGAUCCCUGAAUGGAUCCCUAGGUCAGGUGAGGUAACUAAUGUAAUUAUGCCCAACCCCCUCAUCCCAUGCGGGCACCCUCUAAUGUUGUCCAUUAAUCCUGGCAUGCCUUCUGUGGUUUCGCCCUUAGUCACUGGCUUCAAGAGCACAACCUCCAAUGUUAAUCUUUCAGGGUCUACAAGUUUAACAGAAAUAACAUAUGUGACCCCGUACUCCUUCACAUAACCUCCGAAUAUGAUCUCUCGGUACAGCAAGAAAAGGUGGUUAAAACUCCUGAGCAAGUGGAAAUGGCUCCAACGAUGAAGAGCUUGGAACAAAUCCUGAAAAACAUGCAAGGUCUGAGUGGCCAAAAGAGUGUCAUACGCCGAACUUUGUAUGUUUCCCCAUUUCCACGUGCCAUCUAGCUUCAAGAUGCCAAAAUUUGAAAAGUACGAUGGACAUGGAGACCCGGUCGCUCACCUGAAAUAAUAUUGUAACUAGUUGAGAGGCACUGGUGGAAAAGACGAGCUCCUAAUGGCCUAUUUCAGGGAAAGCCUCAUCGGAAUCGCUUCUGAGUGGUAUACGGAUCAAGAAAUUACUCAUUGGCACGUGUGGGACGAUAUGGACCGAUUUUAUCCGCUAGUUCUAGUAUAGUGUGGACAUCGCUCGCGAUAGAAACUCUUUGUCCAAUUUGAAAAAGAAAACCGUGGAAGCCUUCCACGAAUAUGCUGUCAAAUGGCAUGAGCAAGCUUCCAGGGUAAAGCCUCCAAUGGACGAAAAUGAAAAGGUCAGGGUCUUUCUAUAGGCCCAAGAGGUGGACUACUUCCAUAACAUGAUGUCUGCUAUGGGAAAGCCAUUUGUUGAGCCAAUCAAAAUUGAGACGACGGUGGAAAAUGGCAGAAAAUGGGUUGUAUAUUGAGUCAUGCUACUUUUAAAGCCAUAUCAGUAGAUUUUCAAAAUGGUUCAUAGGAUUUGAUAAAUGGAAACGGGAGAGAAGAAGGAACUAGGUGGCUUCCAACUCGAGGGUGACCCGCAAGUCAUUCAACCAAUCAUAUAUGUUUCCUGAGGUCCCUCAACAUUAUUAUCCCUUUCACGAUGCUUCUUAUCCGGUGGCACCACCUCGUUAUGCGGUGAUGACCGCGUGACCAUACACACGACCACAACAUCAUAUACAAAACUAAACUCCACCUCCCAUAAAUGCCCAUCCUUACCAAGCUCCAUAUAAUCCUCAACCAUAUGAUCCCCAAUAUAAUCCUUCGCCUAAGAUAGCCUUUCAGAAAGAACCAGUUCACCCCUCUUGGUGAAUCGUAUUCAAGCUUGGUCAAAAAUCUAAUCAGGCUAGAGCUAUUGCAGCUAGUGGCUCCGAACCGACCUAACCCCGAGUCCCUCUCGCCCUGAGCUGAUGCUAUAUGUGAAUACCACUCUGGAGUGUCACACCUCCUUUUUCUUACCCCUGGAAUGGUAUAAGGAAGUUUUUCCAAUUAAAAGAUAAUCGAAACAGGAUUAUAUAUAUUAUAAUUCAGAUUCGCCACUUGGAAUAUUUAGGGUGUCCCAAGUCACCGUCUCAAAUCCCAAAUCGAGGAAAAGAUUGACUCUGUAUUACAGUUCGCGAACCAGAAAUCCGAGAAAGGAAUUUUGUUUACUCGGGAGAAGGUAUUUGUUAUUCUCGAGUUCCGUGGUUCAAUCACGGUCGCUCAAUUAUUAUAAAUGGCCUAAUUUAAAACACUUUUAAUCCUAUGUGUAAUUUUAACUUCAAAGCCACUUUGAUUUAUUUUAAAGAAUAUUUAACAUCGUUUAAAACAUGUCUUUGGAUCGCACUACAUGAAAUGCAAUCACAAUCCGAAAUAUAUUUUAUUCAACGUUAUUAAAAUCUGGAUUUGGGACACAUGAAAUGCACACAUGAGUUUAGGAAGGUAAUACUAUUAAAAUAACGCGCUUAAUGCAACUAUGCGUUUUUAACUUUGUGAGGGCCAUGGAAAAUUUGCUAAAUUGCAUGCCUCGAGUUUUAAGGAUUUAAAGGAAAUAAUUAAAUAAGUACCACACAUUUGAGAUUUUUGUUUGGCAUGACGCACCUCAAUUGUAAUUCUAAGGGGUAUUCAAACUAGAUUUAAGAGGUCCAUAAAUUAUUUGUGUUGUCUAAUAUAGCGCACCUCCAAAACAAAGUCAAGCUAAUAAAUAAAACUCAAGGAAUUCAAAAUCCUUUUACACCAAGUCCAAAUUACAUUGCUGGAUGAAUGUCCGCUUCCCUUAAAAUCCGGCCAAUACAUCAUUACAAGUGUUACUAACCUACUAACUAUUAAACUACUAGACAAUAGACCCCAAUAAAGGGCCCAAUUCAAACGUGUUACAACUGUAUAACAGGGGACUCAAGAUCGAGUCCCUGUUGUUGCAUUCAGAACCAGCCUUGAUUAAAAAAGGACCAACAUCAAGUCCUACCAACUACCAGCACAAUAAAUCAAUUUUAAUUCUUCAGGCAUGGGCCUGAAUGAACGCAAUACUCGAUGAUGCAUGACAAGCCAAAGAAUGUACGUUGACGAAUAAUUACUGCCUAUGACCCAUUUUCUAGGUGUUGAUUUUUGAAGGCCAUUUAUGAUGAAAUGAUGAACAAACUCCUCAAUUUCUGAAUUAUAAGCUAAGAAAACAAGUUGAUGAAGUCAUAAACGAUAUUAGGAUUUACACAAGAAGAGUACUUCAAAUCUACGCUAAGGUCUUACUUCCAGCUUUCAAUUUUGCAAUUUAGAUUUUUCUAACCAUCAUGGUAUAAAUUAACCACACCUUGUUGCAGCUCUCUAUCACCUUUCCACUUUUUUAUUUUUAAAAAAAUAGAAGAAUCCAAGGAACACAUAACUGCUACCUCCUUCACAAAGAAACAAAAAUCCAAGAAAAGUUUGGAGGCAAAUGAGUGCUAAUUUUUAUGUUUAUAAAAUCCAAACAGUAGAUGAGGAAUCAACAGCCAACACUUAACUUUUCAAUGAAUUCAAAUAAGAAUCAAAGUUAGAAUAUGAAUGAUCUUACCCACACAUUUAAACUAGAGUUCAAAGUUCAUCAUCAAUACAGUUUUGCUCACAGAUUCAUAACAUGUAAACUUAUCCACAUAUGUAGGCUAUGCGAGUAAUAUAAAUAGGAAUCUAAGCUGAGAUUAGCAAUUAAAGUCAUAACUACACAGGGAUGGAAAACAACCAGAGAAACACAAAUAAAACUAGGUAAACAUGGAUUGCAUUUCAUUAGAUUUUACUUCAAUCGUAUAGACCACAUUCGCUUGUUGCUCAUAGAUAGAGGAAUACCUGGGAAAUCAAGAACAAAUAGUAAAUAAGGAAACAACAGUGAGCCCCAUCAGUUAGCUCGAGUUUGAUCAAAUGAAUAGUGAAGCACAUGAUAGACAACCAGAAAAAUAGAUGGACUUCAAAAAAAUUGAUUCCUGAACCAGCUUAAACCAUUUCUUCUCUAUUCAGGUGCACAAAUUCAGUAGUUUUUCUAGAAAUUCUAAACUAUCAGAGGAUUAAAUGAGCCAAACCAACACCAAAAACCCCAAAAUACCAAGUUCAAUCCAUUUUGCGCAGGCGACCCAAAAUGUGUUUCAAAAAUUGAAGGCUUCAAAAACAAAAAAGAAAUAAUGGGACAAUGUUUUCUAAUGUUCUCAGUCGUCUCUAUUUUUCAAAUUUUUUAUCUCCUAAUCCUACAAAGGCAAGAAAGUCUGCCUUUAUAGUAAAAGAAAGUAGGGCAGCCUACACAAUUCAGUUUUGCAUUUUCCCCUUUUGUAAAUUUUGUUUUUUUUUUCUUAGCAAUCCUCAGCUAAUUUUAUGUUCAUUAAAACAGUCCCCCUCCCCAGCUUCUAGGAAGCUUCCUAGUUCGAUAUUUGGGAUAUUCCUUCACCUAAUUAUGCAUAGUACCCCUUAGAGCCCUGUUAAUUACUGUGAGACACCUGACGGAUGAUCCAACCUAAUGGGUCUGAUAGACCUUGUUCAAAUCCAUUCCGGGAUUAUUCAAACUUUAUGAGCCAAAAUAAAAUCUAGUAAGGGCUAUCUAUUUUAGACUUAUCCGAGAUUAUCCCAUAGAAAAAUCCGAAUCACAGAAAACUUAGCCCAAAACGAGAGAAACUUUUUCAUCUAACAAACAACAACACAAUUAUACUGAUGAAUGACUCAUGCAAGGCCCACUGAGCCCGAAACAAAUAAACAAAAAAACCAGAAGAAAAAGAAUAAGCAGAGCAACGAAUGAGAGAGAAAAUUAAAGAAAAGAUAACAAGACAAGAAAAAUACCUAACGAAAUGCUUCGAACAAAAAUUAGAGAAGAACCUUCAAACUUUCAAAUUCUUUAUUCAAUCUGAGGUUAAGCAUGUGCUUUUUCACCAGAAACACGUGAAUAACCUCAGAAUGAACCGAAACCUCGACGAACACUUCAAUUGGAAAGAUUUGGAAUUUUUAGGGUUAGACUAGAUUCAAGAUUCGAGGACCUUUUGGGGUUAUUCGAGGGAAAAUAAUAUGGGAUUUUGGAUAGGGAAUGCCUGGUGAUCAUUUGGUGUUAAUUUGGUGGGGAAAAGGGUAGCGCAGCCGGAUUUCUGAGGUGGCGGAUUAGAGGUGGAUAGGGCUUUGCAAGAGUCUCUAAAAGGGGUGUUUUAGGAGAGACGAGUGAUAGGGGGUGAGGGGUAGUGAGGUUUUGACACUGAUUUAUAAUAAUUCCCCCUAGUUCCCUGCUGUAGGAUUAGAUAAAUGAACGGCCUAGAUCAAGCACGACCAAACAAGGUCGUUUGGCUAACUAAGGGAGGACCAACUGGUUCUGGGGACGGGUAUGGGCUGGGACAGGAGAAUUUGAGGGGUAAAGUAUUUGGGCCUGGAGAUUUGAUUUUAAAGAACAGCCCAAACAUUAAUUUCUCAUCUCUCUUCUUUUAUUUUUUCUAAAUUCCCUUUGUUUUUUUUUUUCAAAAUUAAGUUAAUUCAUAAAUUAAUCCCUAGAACCUAAUUAACUGAGAAACUGAUAAAACCUAAAGUGACAAUUAACACUAUUAAUUCAAAAAUAAAUUAACAGAAAAACUCCUCAAAAACAAAAGCCAAAAUUAAAAGUGUAAUUAAACUAUUUUGGUAAUUUUCUUUUUUUAUAAAUAACUUAAUUGAUCCUAAAAUACUAAAUUAAAUACUAAAUGAAAAUGCACAUAUUUUUGUAUUUUUUUGUUAAAUGAAAUAGAAUAAACAUGCACAGAAAAAUACAAAUAAAAAUUCACAGAAUUGCAAAUAAGAAUAAAGAACAAUUUUAUUUUAAUAUUAUGGGAGUAGUUCAUAUAGGGCAAAAAUCAAGUGCUCACAGCUUCCCCUCUU